UACAGAGGUCUCAAGCGUUGUUCGGAUUCCUUGGGCGUAAAGGGCGCGUAGGCUGCGGGGCAAGUCGGGUGUGAAAUCUCAGAGCUCAACUCUGAAACUGCACUCGAUACUGCUUUGCUCGAGGACUGGAGAGGAGAUUGGAAUUCACGGUGUAGCAGUGAAAUGCGUAGAUAUCGUGAGGAAGACCAGUGGCGAAGGCGGAUCUCUGGACAGUACCUGACGCUGAGGCGCGAAGGCCAGGGGAGCAAACGGG
rnacentral:rRNA from 1 species